GUGGAGCACUGACACCUGCAGGCGGCGCUGGAGCCAUGUGUUAUGAUAGAGACCGCUCGGUGGCGCUGCUGCGCUCCGUUCACAGGCACACACUGCGGGCAUGAGUGGGCAUGUACUUGUACAUGUGUGUGUGUUUACGUGUGGUGCGAAGACACGCUUGCAACAGACACAAACCUCACGCCGCAUGCGAGGAGGUUCCGCGGCCGCUCAUGUCUGGAGCUCAUCAAUAAAGCAGCGAUGGAGCGUCGAGGAGGGAAAUUCAGCAACAAAGAGAAAGAUAAUCCCGCUGCGCCUUCAUGGAGCCAAAAUGGCGCCACGGAGGAAGAGGAGGAUUGUCCGGACGGUCCCGAUGGAGAGAAACGGGUCAAGAGCGUCUCGUGGGCCGCGAAACCAGCCGAAGAGCAGCCGCGACUCAACUUCCACAUCCCCCGAAAGAGCAGAGAAAACAGAGGUAACAGGUUGAUCUGCCACACCCGAAUGUCACCUGGGGUACAGUGGGGAACACUUUAUUUCAUUCAGAGACCUGAGAUUUUAUUAUAUAACCAAAAAAAAACAACAACAACAAAAAAAACACACACAUAAAGAAUGAUUAUUUUUGAAUUACAUAUAAUUGAGUAAUUAAAAUAUAAAUUAAAUCCAAAAGAGUCAGCUGCUUUUUGGUCAAUUUAUUUAGAAGUUUAUAGAGUUGAAGAUUUCAUUCAAUUUUGUAUUCAGCAUUCAAAGCCUCAAUUCAAAUAUCCUGUGUAGAUUCUCAAAGAAUUCUGAGUGAACAUUUGAAAGGUUCCAUUCAAACGGUUGAAUAUUCUGUCCAAGCAUUCAGAACUUCCAUUCAUGCAUUUGAGGAUUCUUUUUUAAACAAGGUUUUAUUCAAACACUCGAAGAUCCAUCCAGAGUGUAUAAAUCAGUAUAGUAAUUUAAUUGGUGCCAUAAUUAAUUUGUAAUUAACAGUUAUAUUGCCUUUGAAGUACUUCUGAGUAAACUAAAUAAUUAAUCUGAAAAAUAUUAUAUAGUUACAUAACUUUUAGACCAAAUGUCAUACUGUAAGCUAUGAGUUAUAUAUAUAUAUAUAUAUAUUAAUACUAAAAAUAUAUAUUUUUAGCAGCUGCAGUUUUGUAUAUGUUCCGAAGAUAUAUCUUUAACUACAAGCUACUACAUUUAUGUGUGCUAUGGUAUGCUAAUUAUGCUUAAAGACGAUGUGAUACGUACUUGGUUACUUAACAGAACCUCGGUUCCCUGAGAUACGGGAACGAGUACUGC
ensembl:lncRNA